rnacentral:rRNA from 1 species
UUGACCUCGAAUCAGGUGGGACUACCCGCUGAACUUAAGCAUAUCAAUAAGCGGAGGAAAAGAAACUAACAAGGAUUCCCCUAGUAACGGCGAGUGAAGCGGGAAGAGCUCAAAUUUAAAAUCUGGCAAUCUUUGGUUGUCCGAAUUGUAAUCUAGAGAAGCGUUUUCCGUGCUGGACUGUGUACAAGUUUCCUGGAUACGGAACAUCAUAGAGGGUGAGAAUCCCGUCCUUGACACAGACCCCCAGUACUUUUGUGAUGCGCUCUCGACGAGUCGAGUUGUUUGGGAUUGCAGCUCAAAAUGGGAGGUAAAUUCCUUCUAAAGCUAAAUAUUGGCGAGAGACCGAUAGCGAACAAGUACCGUGAGGGAAAGAUGAAAAGCACUUUGGAAAGAGAGUUAAACAGUACGUGAAAUUGUUAAAAGGGAAACGCUUGAAGUCAGUCACGUUUGCUUGGACUCAGCCUUACUUCGGUUUGGUGCAUUUCCUUGCGGACGGGCCAGCGUCCAUGUUGUUUGCCGGAGAAGGGGUGAGAGAAUGUGGCUCCUUUGGGAGUGUUAUAGCUCUUGCUCGUAUGCGGGGAAUGAUAUGGAGUGGUACAGCACACUUUGGUGGUGCUGUGCUGGCAUA